UUUUAUGUUUAACAUAUUUUUCACAAUCACUUUCUGGAGACUCAUACAAGGAUGUACACUGUCGAAAGAUAACAGAAACGACCCUAACAAGAUCAAUAAGAGCAACGAAAGAUAUAAGCAAUAAAAAUAAUGAUCUAGAAAUGAAAUUUACAAAUAUAAUUUAUGCAAAGUAUAAUUACUUUUUUGUUGCUUACAUAGAAAAUGAGCUAACGUGAAUGUUUAUACAUAAAAUAGAACAGUCUGAAUUUUAUUUGCAAAUCUCUAAGUAGUCACGGCAGAGAUACCAAACAUUUAAUCUACAAUAUUCCCCUACAGUGAGUCGACACAGAUUGAGACUUACCAACCACAUUGAGUAUAGCUAGCUUAAAGGAAGGGCGAUGAAGUUUUGCGAACCUAGUUUAUAUUAUAACAGAGCAAACAUGCACAUUAAUUAUUUGUUCGACCACGCCUUGUUUGCAUUCACCACGUUUUUCGUUGUCGUCACAUAAAACCGCAUCUCGUAUUUGCAAUGGUUUGACAGGAUCGUGCAAUUUCCAUCGGCGAGUUAAUUCAAGAAAAUAUUCGGGCAUCUACCAUUUUAAAAAAGCUUCUGCAAAAUAUUUGGACAGCUUAACAAAAAAUGGUUAGGCGCCAACGGCUUAUCAUCCAGACGCUCGUCCAGGGGUUCGGCUAUUCGAUUUGAAAUAAAUCGUUUGUACAAUCCGCUAUUGGAAUUUAUUCAAUUAACGAUUAUUUUGGAAUCUGAUCAAAAUAUUAUAUUUGGUGGUUGCACAUCGGGAUUUCUUGAUACAGCGUCUUUCAAACGCACUCGUAAUACCAUGUGAAAGCAACAUAAACGCUAUCUGAGCAGAUUAUUCUCCAAUACGUUAUAGUUGAGAAGACAGCUUCGCUAGCGUCGACGAAGAUAUUUAGUUCAAAUUUGACUUAUUGCUUGUUGUGAAUUGGUCGUGACAACAUCGUGGGGUACGAAUUUCCUUUACGUCUUGCUACUUUUUGUACCAAGCAUGCCAGAAGUCGUAUCAAUUUCCAGGGAUCGGCGUUUUCCAGUUUAUUUUAGAUCUCCAUAGUUCUUGUAUCAUCAAACAUUGACACUUAAGGCUUCUCAACAAUUUGCUUCUUCGUUUUGUCAUGAAUUGCUUUUAGAGAUGUAACUGAGGGUACUUCAGCCUGGCUCCUUCGCCUUCAAUUGUGGCAUUUACCAACACCUCUGGACAGUUGUAGCGUCCCUGAUGCAUACAUAUGCAUACUAUGUGCAAACAUAACU